rnacentral:rRNA from 1 species
AGCAGCCGCGGUAAUUCCAGCUCCAAUAGCGUAUAUUAAAGUUGUUGCAGUUAAAAAGCUCGUAGUUGAAUUUCGGGGUCAGCAAGUUGGUCGUGCCACUGGUAUGCACUGGCUUUGCUGAUUCCUCCUUCUUGUAGAACCGUAAUGCCAUUAAGUUGGUGUUACGGGGAAACAGGACUGUUACUUUGAAAAAUUAGAGUGUUUAAAGCAGGCUAACGCUUGAAUACAUUAGCAUGGAAUAA